ACGCUCGACACCUACGGGGGCAGCAGUAGGGAAUUUUCGUCAAUGGGGGGAACCCUGAACGAGCAAUGCCGCGUGAGUGAAGAAGGUCUUCGGAUCGUAAAGCUCUGUUGUAAGAGAAAAACGGGCUCCAUAGGGAAUGAUGGAGAAGUGAUGGUAUCUUACCAGAAAGCCACGGCUAACUACGUGCCAGACACGCCGACGGUAAUCUGAGGCGGGCGUCGGACGAACGGC
rnacentral:rRNA from 1 species